CCAGUUUUUUACAGGAAUGGCAGAUAGUGGAGCUGCACAAUAGUUCACAGAAGUUAGCGCUAAUUCUAUCAGUGCAGUAGAGAUGCAGCAGAAGAGAGCGCUGUGAUGAACUUUUAAAAGAACAGACCCCCCCGAAGACUCCCUGCAAAGGAACAUCACCCCCACAAUAAGUCUCAUCACUAGUUUUGGCAAGUCUCUCCCUGUUAUUUGUGUCUUUGUGAAAAGGUGCCAGUUCCCUAGUAGAUUCCAUCACAUUUUGUUGGUAUAAUCUAUUGAUUGCUCCUACUGACUAUAUCCAGCCUCUUACGAAGACUUCAGAUGACCAAACACCUGUGAGAGGACGUCAGAUGAAGAUCAGUAGGGAAACCAUACAUUCACAAUCCUUCCUGUGAGUGACUGGAGCACUCCCAUGCAGCACCGCAAACUAGUGGAGACUGUUCAAGGACAACAUGUAUUAUACUGUAGUUUUUUUUUACUUAAAAUAUCUUCAUUUAGUUGGAAUGAAUUUUCUAAAACAACAAACUGAACAUUUACCUUGAAAUCAGUAAAACGAUAAUGAACAUUAGGAUGUGAUGUUAGUAUCACUGUUGGGCAAAUUAUAUUCAUUUGUAUAUGGAUCAUAUCUCUUUUUUGUAAGAACACUGAACACUGAUACAGUAUAAUCUAAGAUAUUGUACACAAUAAAUACACAUCUGUUAUCAGUUAAAAUAGUAUUUAUAGUAAUAGUAAUUAUCUAUUAAAGGACACCUUUUUUUCUUUGGAGGUAUCAAUUACAGUAAAUUUGUUAUACAAGCUUGGAGGUUUUUAGUUAAGGUUCAUUACUAGACAAGUGUAGACACUGUUAUUUUGUGACGUAAUGGAACAUUUCCUUUCAUAACAGCAUCUGUUUGAUUGUUUUGGUUUACUAUAGUAUAUAUAGUAUAUUUGAAUGACUGUAAAAAGCACUCCAAAGUCAGCUAUGUCAAAUGAAUGUCAGGAAAAAUAUUUUUAACCCAUUUUUGGGGUAAUUCCUGUCAUGCAGUUGACUCAGAUUGGUCAGCCGUGUUUUCAGACAUCAGUAGUAUCGCUCAGUCUUUCUUCUCAACCGACCAGAGUAACUGUAAUACCCAGAUUGUAAUAUGCUUUGUGGUCCCUUGGCAACUGUAAUUUGUCAUUAAAAGGCACCAAAGAGUCUUCCAGUGAAACUCAGGCACAUGAGCAUUGUUAUCUGCAGUAUGCUUCUUUGCUUGGCUGUGCUAAAUUUAGUCAAUAUUUCCUGGGUAAACGUCAGGCUGGUUAUUCAUGACAGUGGUGGUGGGUUCAACCUCCCAGCAGGAUUUACACUAAUGGAGACAGUGUCCUACUGUGACAGACAAACAGUAAUGUUGGGCCUCGCAGUGAGAAAUGAGUCCUGGGAAACUAGGUGGGAUGAAAGAUAAAGAAAAAAGACAGAUUCAGUCAAGGCGAGUGUGUGUUUGUCUGGUAGUGCGGUGUAGAAGAAGAAAAUGGAGAAAUGCUCAGUCACAGCGGUUAGUGAAGUAAAGGAAAGCUGGAGAAAAAACAGUUGAACAGAGGGAAUAAGAUACUGUAGCUUAGAGGGGGUUAUAGAGUAGAAGAACAACAACAGCAGAGAAAAUAUAGAUUUUUUCUAAAAUACAAUAAAUAGAUGAGUAUAGUUGUGUUCCUCAGCUUUUUAUUAGUACAACGUAGAGGAUAAAGGUAGCACUCACAGACUCAAUGGCCUCCAAGUAAAGACGGGCUAAGGUUACCUCUGCAGGUUUUAUCAGAAAAUAGUCUUAGUGACUUUGAUGCUUAAAAAAAAUGUAUGCUUGUCUCUAAAUAUCUGAUGUGUAAGUAUUUGAAAA